rnacentral:rRNA from 1 species
AUUGAACGCUGGCGGCAGGCCUAACACAUGCAAGUCGAACGAGUGGCGGACGGGUGAGUAAUGUCUGGGAAACUGCCCGAUGGAGGGGGAUAACUACUGGAAACGGUAGCUAAUACCGCAUACAAUCGGAGGUGCGCAGAUGGGAUUAGCUUGUAGGUGAGGUAACGGGUCACCUAGGCGACGAUCCCGAGCUGGUCUGACAGGAUGACCAGCCACACUGGAACUGUGACACGGUCCAGACUCCUACGCGAGGCAGCAGUGGGGAAUAUGGCACAAUGGGCGCAAGCCUGAUGCAGCCAUGCCGCGUGUAUGAAGAAGGCCUUCGGGUUGUAAAGUACUGUCAGCGGGGAGGCGUUACCCGCAGAAGAAGCACCGGCUAACUCCGUGCCAGCAGCCGCGGUAAUAC